UNUCUGCAGUCGAGCGAAUGGAUUAAGAGCUUGCUCUUAUGAAGUUAGCGGCGGACGGGUGAGUAACACGUGGGUAACCUGCCCAUAAGACUGGGAUAACUCCGGGAAACCGGGGCUAAUACCGGAUAACAUUUUGAACCGCAUGGUUCGAAAUUGAAAGGCGGCUUCGGCUGUCACUUAUGGAUGGACCCGCGUCGCAUUAGCUAGUUGGUGAGGUAACGGCUCACCAAGGCAACGAUGCGUAGCCGACCUGAGAGGGUGAUCGGCCACACUGGGACUGAGACACGGCCCAGACUCCUACGGGAGGCAGCAGUAGGGAAUCUUCCGCAAUGGACGAAAGUCUGACGGAGCAACGCCGCGUGAGUGAUGAAGGCUUUCGGGUCGUAAAACUCUGUUGUUAGGGAAGAACAAGUGCUAGUUGAAUAAGCUGGCACCUUGACGGUACCUAACCAGAAAGCCACGGCUAACUACGUGCCAGCAGCCGCGGUAAUACGUAGGUGGCAAGCGUUAUCCGGAAUUAUUGGGCGUAAAGCGCGCGCAGGUGGUUUCUUAAGUCUGAUGUGAAAGCCCNCGGCUCACCGUGGANGGUCAUUGGAAACUGGGANACUUGAGUGCAAAAAAGAAAGUGGAUUNCCUGUGUAGCGGUGAAAUGCGUAAANAUUUGGAGNACCCCGUGGCAANGCACUUUCUGNCUGUACUGACCUGAGGCNNAAAGNUGGGAACAAAAAGAUNAAAUNCCUGGUAGCCNCCCUAACNAAANNGUAANGUUAANGGUUCCCCUUUAUGCNAANUACNNUUAACCNCCCNGGGAANCGCCCAGUUAACNAAAAAUNACGGGCCCCCANCGNGACUUGNUUUUNAAAACCAAACUUCGGNUGAUCUUNAACUA
rnacentral:rRNA from 1 species